AUUGAACGCUGGCGGCAUGCCUUACACAUGCAAGUCGAACGGCAGCACGGGUGCUUGCACCUGGUGGCGAGUGGCGAACGGGUGAGUAAUACAUCGGAACAUGUCCUGUAGUGGGGGAUAGCCCGGCGAAAGCCGGAUUAAUACCGCAUACGAUCUACGGAUGAAAGCGGGGGACCUUCGGGCCUCGCGCUAUAGGGUUGGCCGAUAGCUGAUUAGCUAGUUGGUGGGGUAAAGGCCUACCAAGGCGACGAUCAGUAGCUGGUCUGAGAGGACGACCAGCCACACUGGGACUGAGACACGGCCCAGACUCCUACGGGAGGCAGCAGUGGGGAAUUUUGGACAAUGGGCGAAAGCCUGAUCCAGCAAUGCCGCGUGUGUGAAGAAGGCCUUCGGGUUGUAAAGCACUUUUGUCCGGAAAGAAAUCCUCGGCUCUAAUACAGUCGGGGGAUGACGGUACCGGAAGAAUAAGCACCGGCUAACUACGUG
rnacentral:rRNA from 1 species